rnacentral:rRNA from 1 species
UGGGGAAUUUUGCACAAUGGGGGAAACCCUGAUGCAGCGACGCCGCGUGAUUUAGAAGGCCUUCGGGUUGUAAAAAUCUUUUGUAUGGGAAGAAAAUGACAGUACCAUACGAAUAAGGACCGGCUAAUUACGUGCCAGCAGCCGCGGUAAUACGUAAGGUCCGAGCGUUGUCCGGAAUCAUUGGGCGUAAAGGGUACGUAGGCGGAUAAGCAAGUUAGAAGUGAAAUCCUAUAGCUCAACUAUAGUAAGCUUUUAAAACUGCUCAUCUUGAGGUAUGGAAGGGAAAGUGGAAUUCCUAGUGUAGCGGUGAAAUGCGCAGAUAUUAGGAGGAAUACCGGUGGCGAAGGCGACUUUCUGGCCAUAUACUGACGCUGAGGUACGACAGCGUGGGUAGCAAACAGG